rnacentral:rRNA from 1 species
GAUGAACGCUGGCGGCGUGCCUAAUACAUGCAAGUCGAGCGAAUGGAUUAAGAGCUUGCUCUUAUGAAGUUAGCGGCGGACGGGUGAGUAACACGUGGGUAACCUGCCCAUAAGACUGGGAUAACUCCGGGAAACCGGGGCUAAUACCGGAUAACAUGUUAAACCGCAUGGUUCGAAAUUGAAAGGCGGCUUCGGCUGUCACUUAUGGAUGGCCCCGCGUCGCAUUAGCUAGUUGGUGAGGUAACGGCUCACCAAGGCAACGAUGCGUAGCCGACCUGAGAGGGUGAACGGCCACACUGGGACUGAGACACGGCCCAGACUCCUACGGGAGGCAGCAGUAGGGAAUCUUCCGCAAUGGACGAAAGUCUGACGGAGCAACGCCGCGUGAGUGAUGAAGGCUUUCGGGUCGUAAAACUCUGUUGUUAGGGAAGAACAAGUGCUAGUUGAAUAAGCUGGCACCUUGACGGUACCUAACCAGAAAGCCACGGCUAACUACGUGCCAGCCGCCGCCGUAA